rnacentral:lncRNA from 10 species
AGCAGCAGUGGCACCAAGACAGCUACGUGAAGGAGGGUGGGUGCCUGGCCAGGUCCACAGUUUCAGCACAGCCACGGCAGCCAUGGCCCCAAUCAAGGUGGGAAAUGCCAUCCCUGCAGUUAUGGUGUUGGAGGGAACACAGUGAACCUGGCAGAGCUGUUCAAGGGCAAGAAGGGUGUUCUGUUUGGAGUUCCUCAAGCCUUUAGCCCCAGCUGUUCCAAACACCUGCCAGGGUUGGUGGAGCAGGCUGGGGCUUUGAGGGCCAAGGGGGUCCCAGCGGUGGCAUGUCUGAGUGUUAACGAUGCCUUUGUGACUGGCAAGUAGGGAUGAGCCCACAAGGUUAAAGGCAAGGUUCGGCUCCUGGCUGACCCCACUGGGGCCUUUGGGAAGGAGGCAGAUUCACUGCUAG